rnacentral:rRNA from 1 species
AUUGAACGCUGGCGGCAGGCUUAACACAUGCAAGUCGAGCGGAGCGAGGGUGCUUGCACCUUAGCUUAGCGGCGGACGGGUGAGUAGUGCUUAGGAAUCUGCCUAUUAGUGGGGGACAACAUUCCGAAAGGGAUGCUAAUACCGCAUACGCCCUACGGGGAAAGCAGGGGAUCUUCGGACCUUGCGCUAAUAGAUGAGCCUAAGUCGGAUUAGCUAGUUGGUGGGGUAAAGGCCUACCAAGGCGACGAUCUGUAGCGGGUCUGAGAGGAUGAUCCGCCACACUGGGACUGAGACACGGCCCAGACUCCUACGGGAGGCAGCAGUGGGGAAUAUUGGACAAUGGGCGGAAGCCUGAUCCAGCCAUGCCGCGUGUGUGAAGAAGGCCUUUUGGUUGUAAAGCACUUUAAGCGAGGAGGAGGCUACUAGUAUUAAUACUACUGGAUAGUGGACGUUACUCGCAGAAUAAGCACCGGCUAACUCUGUGCCAGCCGCCGCCGUAACAC